CCUGCUGCUUCUUCAAAUGGAUUACCACUUGGGGAUACCUUUCAGUUAUGUCGUUGAUCACCUCGUUGAAGUCGUCAGCCUUGAGUUUACCUGUGUUGUUCUUGUCUGCCUUGCUGAAGAUGGCUGCAAUGUCUUCCUGAUAUAACUCGAUGACAGAGAGCACGAACCUGUCCAAUCUGCUUCAUGAAAUCCAUCACAACAGGCCGAGUUCCAAUACCAGUCGACCAGACAACCAUCCCAUACGAAUGUGGUCUCCAGCCUCGAGAAGAGUGAUUGUAACGUAGCUCUUAAGAUACGGGUAUAGCUUUGCCAAAUCCUCAAUGACAAAGUCAUGAAGCUCAGCAGCAAACUCCACCCCCGUUGGGCCUCCUCCGACCACCACAAAAUGCAGAAUCCGCUUCCUCUCCUCUUCACUUAUGUUCGGUAAGCUUGCCUUCUCAAAACAGUCUAUAACUGUUUUCCUUAUCUUCUGUGCAUCUUCUAUCUCCUGCAGAAUGUUCACAUUUCGUAUGCAUUGAGGAGAUAAUUAUACAUCCCGUUAAACAAAUAGGACGUCUAGAAAACCUUGAUAUACACGUUACCUUUAGAAAGUGCGUAUGCUCAACAACACCAGGGGUGUUAAACGUGUUGGAACGAGCUCCCAUGGCUAUCACUAGGAAACAACAUAGAAAUACCAGAUUCAUCAACUCAUACGACCUUACGUUGCUCUUUCACACAGGAUGAUGCUACACUCACCUUUCUGA